rnacentral:rRNA from 1 species
GGCUUGUUGAUAAUAAUUUCAGGUCUGACCUGCCCAAUGAUAAAUUAAAUGGCCGCGGUAUAUUGACCGUGCAAAGGUAGCAUAAUCAUUAGUUUUUUAAUUGAAAGCUUGUAUGAAAGGUUUAAUGAGAAAAUUACUGUCUCUGUAAAAAUUGAUUAGAAUUUUAUUUUUAAGUUAAAAAGCUUAGAUUUAUAUAGAAGACGAGAAGACCCUAUAGAGUUUUAUAUUUCUAAAAAAAUAAUUAUUUAUAGAGUAAAAUAUUUUAUUUUUUUAGAUGUAUUUUGUUGGGGUGAUGAAAAAAUUUGAUGAACUUUUUUUGCAUAAUUACAUUUAUUUAUGAGUAAAUGAUCCUAAAAUUUAGAUUAUAAGAGUAAAUUACCUUAGGGAUAACAGCGUAAUUUUUUAUAAAGUUCUUAUUGAAAAAAAAGUUUGCGACCUCGAUGUUGGAUUAAAAUUUAUUGUUGGUGAAGAAGCUAAUAUAUUAGGUCUGUUCGACCUUUAAAAUUUUACAUGAUCUGAGUUUAGACCGGCGUGAG